rnacentral:rRNA from 1 species
CCUACGGGAGGCAGCAGUGGGGAAUAUUGGACAAUGGGCGAAAGCCUGAUCCAGCAAUGCCGCGUGAGUGAUGAAGGCCUUAGGGUUGUAAAGCUCUUUUACCAGGGAUGAUAAUGACAGUACCUGGAGAAUAAGCUCCGGCUAACUCCGUGCCAGCAGCCGCGGUAAUACGGAGGGAGCUAGCGUUGUUCGGAAUUACUGGGCGUAAAGCGUACGUAGGCGGUUAUUCAAGUCAGAGGUGAAAGCCUGGAGCUCAACUCCAGAACUGCCUUUGAAACUAGAUAGCUAGAAUCACGGAGAGGUUAGUGGAAUUCCGAGUGUAGAGGUGAAAUUCGUAGAUAUUCGGAAGAACACCAGUGGCGAAGGCGACUAACUGGACGUGUAUUGACGCUGAGGUACGAAAGCGUGGGGAGCAAACAGGAUUAGAUACCCUGGUAGUCCACGCCGUAAACGAUGAUAACUAGCUGUUCGGUCUCUACGAGACUGAGUGGCGCAGCUACGACAUUAAGUUAUCCGUCCGUCGGGUAGGUACGGUCGCGAAGAAUUAAACUAACAAAGGAAAGUUAGACGGCGUGAGACGUGCCGAACGGACGACGACGAGGGAGGUAGG